rnacentral:rRNA from 1 species
UCUUGCCUACGGGAGGCAGCAGUGGGGGAUAUUGCACAAUGGGGGAAACCCUGAUGCAGCGACGCCGCGUGGGUGAAGAAGCGCCUCGGCGCGUAAAGCCCUGUCAGCAGGGAAGAAAAUGACGGUACCUGAAGAAGGAGCCCCGGCUAACUACGUGCCAGCAGCCGCGGUAAUACGUAGGGGGCAAGCGUUAUCCGGAUUUACUGGGUGUAAAGGGGGCGCAGACGGCGAUGCAAGCCAGGAGUGAAAGCCCGGGGCCCAACCCCGGGACUGCUCUUGGAACGGCAUGGCUGGAGGACAGGCGG